rnacentral:lncRNA from 1 species
AGAUGCAGCUAAUGACGUUUCUCAAAACUCAUGUUGCAGCUUCUGAUAUACCUGAUAUAUCUCCUCCCGACGCCGAGUUAUCUGCCGCAUAUGCACCACUCACCAAGCAAAAUGCAUUCUUGCUGUUGGACUGGAUUCACAACCUGAAAUAUAAGCAAGGUCUGCCAGCUAAGUUCCUGACAUCCAUUAAGAUGGGAAGCUGGCUCAAAAUUUCCCUCAGUGGCAGUCCUGGAUAUAGGCCACCAUCACAGUCUUUCCUGCUUGCUUCAUCAGAUGAAAAUCUUCUGCAGGAUGAGUCAGUAAUGGUUGAUAUUCCAUUGAUUGACCAAGGAUUUUAUGGAAAUGGCAUCAAUAAUUAUAAGGAGGAGCUCAAAACUGUUGGAGUAAAGUUUGAAUAUGGCGAAGCGUGUGAGUUUAUAGGGAGGCACCUCAUGUCUCUUGCAGCUUCCUCUGCAUUGACUAAAUCCAAUGUGUUUCAAAUACUUAAGUUCAUCAGAUUUUUGAGACUUAGAUGUCUUCCGGCUGAUAAAUUCAUCCAGAGCAUCAAAGAUGGAAGGUGGUUGAAGACUUCCUGUGGUCACAGGUCUCCAGUUGGAUCUGUUUUAUUUGACCAGGAAUGGGAAGCUGCAUCACAAAUAAGUGACAUCCCCUUCAUUGACCAAGAUCACUAUGGCAAGGAAAUCCUUGGUUUCAAAAUGGAACUCCAAUUGCUUGGUGUGCUGGUUGGCUUUAACAAAAAUUACCAGCUUGUUACCGAUCACUUCAAGUCUCAAGCAUGCUCAAAUUGUCCAACAGCCAAGUCUAUUCUUUUGAUAUUUGAAUGCAUGUGGGAUUGCGAGCGCAAUUCAAGAUCAGCCCAUGAGCUUGUGCAUGCGCUUAAAGGUAAUAAAUGCUUGAAGACGAACAUGGGCUACAAGUUUCCUAGUGAAUGUUUCCUGUUUAAUACUGAGUGGGAUUCGCUUCUGAAAGUCUUCCAUAAUGAUUUUCCACUUAUUGAUGAAAACUUCUAUGGAACCAGCAUCUUGUCUUACGAAAAAGAGUUGAGGCAAGCAGGUGUAGUGGUGGAUUUUGAAGCAGCGACCCAGAAAUUUUUAGCUGUUUUCAAGAAGCAUGCAUCCUCGUCUUCUAUUGGAAGAGAACAUGUUCUGUCUUUUCUCAGGUCUUACGGACAGAUUAAUAAGACAAACAAGAAGUUUCCUUCAGAUUUUAAGCACAACAUUUGUGAGGCAAAAUGGCUGCAAACACGGCUUGGUGUUCCUAGAUCACCAAGAGAGUGCAUUCUUUUUGGCCCAGAAUGGGAACCUGUAAGUUCAAUUACUGUGCUUCCUUUCAUUGAUGAUAGUGACAAGUACUAUGGCAAGAGAAUUCAUGAAUAUAGUAAAGAGCUGAGGAGCCUGGGUGUUACCAUCAAGUAUAAAGAUGGGGUGAGGUUUGUGGCUGCAGGUGUCUACUUUCCCCAAGAUCCCAGCACCAUAACUCCUGAAAGUGUGUUCUCUCUGCUGCAGUGCAUCCAGAUAUUAAUGAAAGAUGGUUAUACUUUGACUGAUGCUUUCCGGUCAAAGGUUUCUCAAAGUUGGUUAAAAACCAAUGCUGGGUAUAGGUCUCCAGGCCAAUGUUUGUUGUUUGGCUCUGAGUGGGGUUCUUUCUUACAGAGGAACGAUGGACCUUUCAUUGAUGAAGAAUUCUAUGGCCCCAACAUUACAGCCUACAAGAACGAGCUCAGAGAAAUUGGAGUGACCGUUGAUUUGUUAAAUGGGUGCUCUUUGCUUGCUGGCUAUCUUGAUUUUCAUUCUGAAUUUUCAACCAUUGUUCGAGUCUAUAAUUACUUGAAUGAACACGGCUGGUCGCCUUCCAAUGAUACUCCUAGAAGGAUCUGGAUCCCUAAUGGGAGUGACAGUGGAGAGUGGGUUAGUCCUGAAAAAUGUGUUAUUCAUGACAAGGAUGGUCUCUUCAGUUCACAGCUGAAUGUUUUAGAGAAACACUAUAAGCCGGAAUUAUUCAGCCUUUUCUGCAGAGUCAUGCAAGUUAAAUCCAAUCCUUCUAUUGAUGACUACUGCGAACUUUGGAAUAACUGGGAAAAUUCAAGGGAGCAACUGUCACGUUCGGAGUGUUGUGCUUUCUGGGCCCAUGUUUCAAAGCACUGGAGUAAAAACACACAGAAAACUCUUGCCGACAGCUUGUCAAAACUGCCAGUUGAAUCAGGAUCGGAGAGAAUAAUGCUGUUUGACAAACGUGAUGUUUUCAUUGCAGAUGACCUCCAGCUGAAGUAUCUUUUCCAACAAUCUUCGCCUCACUCAAUUUUUGUGUGGUAUCCCCAGCCAAGCAUCCCUUCCUUGCCCCGGACUAAGCUGCUUGACAUCUACAGGGAAAUUGGUGUUCGUUCUAUCUCUAAAUCUGUACAGAAGGAAGAAAUCUCCAAGUUGGAGGCCAGUGAACUCAAGCAAGUGUCUCAGAAGGAAACUUUGAUCGGAAAAGGCCUGCUGAAACUCAUUCUUGGCUUUCUCGCUGGUCCUUCUAUUGAAAUGGAAGCAGGACAAAGGCUGGAAGCUGUCAAAGGCCUUCUCAAUCUUAAGGUGUUUGAGACGGAGGGGCAAACUGCAGCAAGCUACAGAUUGUCAAUGUCUUCUGGGGAAACCAUGGACGUUGAUGCAAGAGGAAUGAUGCGCUGGGACCGGGAGGAUUCCAAGCUUUUCAUGCAGAAGAUGGAUAUAUCGGGUGGACAUAAAAAUAAAAUCGAAUAUGCUACAAUCUUCGCUGAAGUAAUAUCAGAGGGCGUCUUACAGGAGAAAGAAGACCAUAUAUCUGAUCUCGCCGAACUGAUCAAGUUGGCAUUCUUCCUGGAUUUUGAUGAGGAAGCAGUUGGGUUCUUGAUGAGAUCCAAGAAUCUCCAAGUUUUCUUGGAGGACGAGGAGCUUCUCUCUUCAGCCCUUUCUCUCGACUAGGUAUGCAUUCUAUGCCAUGACCAAUAAAUAGUUGAAAGUGUCAUUUUCCUUAUAUUUCCCCGUUUGAAGUGUGUACUGGUGUGUGCUAUUAGAAUAUUAUAUAAUGUAUAUGAAUCUGGUGUGAAAUGGCUGAUUUAGGCAGCCUAUAUUGUGAUAAUUAUGCCCUUGUGCUUGCCUUUUUUAUUAAAUCGAUUUAAUAUUAAUUGACAUGCAAGAGACAAAAUUAAAUAUUUAAAAGGAGAUGCAUGUGAAGAUCUAAUCUACUCAUAUGUUUUCAAACACUAAAAGUAAAAAAAAAAUUAUAUUGUAAGAGUUCAACUUUAACAUAUCAAAUUAUAAAAAAAUAAAAAAAUUACAAUAUAUCAUCCUUAAAAUAGAUGGUUGCAAUUUUUUUUUAAUCCUCAUUAAUUAUUUUUUAAAUGACUAUAUUAUUUGCUAUAGAGAAUACUCCAUCUCUAUACCUAAAUUUAACACUUGAAGAAAAAUUUUCUUCGGCUUUGAACCCCGUGAAACUCGGUUGCAUUAGAAGUUACAAAUAAAAAUGAUUUCAUUACUUUAAUAAGAUAAUAUGAGAGUAUUUGAUAUAUAAAAUUAAUAAAUGAACAUAGUCUAAUAUUUAAUUUAAUUUAUUAACCAUAUUAUGGAUUUUUUAAUUAAUUUAUUUAAUGUCAAAAAAUCUUUUUUUAGGUCUAAUAAACCCAAAAAAAAAAAAAAUUAAAACAUGUUAGGUAUUGUUUUGUUUAAUUGUUAUUAGAUUAUUAGAAAACAAUUUGGGAGUAGUUAUUAAUCGUUUUCAAAAACAAAAUUAUAUUUGAUAUUUUAAAAAUAGUUCAUUGAUUUUGUUCUCAAUGAAAGUACCAUAAACUUUAACAUAAAAUAUAAUUUUUUUUCUAAAUGUGUUCUAUAUUUUUAAUUGUUUAUUAAGACAUUUGAAAAUAUGUUAAAUUUAUUUUCAAAAUAAUAUGUUAUCAAAAUAAAUUUUGAAAAACGGUUUUGUUUCAAAAGUCUACCAACUAUUUUCUAGGUUGGAAAAUUGGUUUUAGUUAUACAAUAAUAAUUUCCAUACGGAUGCUUGAGAUAUGGAUUUAGUACCAUAUUAAAUUUAUGUAUUUAAAUAUAAAUCAUUGAAUAAAAAUAUAGCAAAAAAAAAGAUAUUUAAAUGUAAAUAUAUUGGACCACGUUAUAAAAAAAUAAAAAAAACAAGAGAACGAGACUAUUACAAGUAUCGAAGUAUGAAAUUCAAGGUGCCCACAUAAACCUUUUUUAUUGAGCACCAUUCUAUAUAAAGAUUUAUUUGAAAACUUAUUUUGAAAAUAGCUUUGUGUUUAAAUGUCUUUAUAGUUGAGAAACAAUAAAUUCAUAUUUCCUUUUUUUUCAACUUCCAUGCAAUACCUAUAGAGUCACUGUGAUUCUUGCAAAUGAGUUGAACUUGAAUCCCAAAAGUGAAUAAAAAAUUGGAUCUACAUUGAAUUGUCUUGUUGAUCUACGUUAAAUUGCCUCAUCAAUUCUUUUGAGUAAAAACUUGAUCUUAGACUUAAUUCAAACAAAAGGAGUACAUUAUGCUAAUGUAUCUUGAAUGAUCCACAUCUCAAGGUAGUUGGCCCAAUAUAUCGGGAUGAUUGGCUUAAUGAGCAUAGGGGUGGUUGACCCAAUAAGCACAUUGAAGAAUUAAUGUGACUAGUCUUGAUGUUUUUAUAGGGAUGGUAAUGGAUAAGUUUUUUUUGUACCAUCUAUGCCCAUGGGACAAAUUUGAAAGAAAUGUAUAUUGAAUGGGCUUUAUUGUUGUUUUUUCUUAAAAAAAAAAAAAAACUAGAGUCAUCAAAGAAGGUUUUCUUACCAAACCUAAUUAUAUAAAAUUAGAUAAAAAUAAUUUCAUUUCAUUUUCUUUUGACAAAAUUAAAAUUAAAAAUUUUGAAAAAUAAUUUAAAAAUUAAAGGAGAUAUGAGAGAGGUAAGCAUGGGAAAUUGCUAGGGUGCAACUUGGGCGGGUUGGAUUGGGCCAACCCAAACCUAACCCUCUAUUUGGACGGGCUUAGAUAGAUGUUUUUAAUAUUUGGGUUGAACUUGUAUUAAGUUUUCUCAAUAUGAACCCAACCCAAACCGGUUUAAUGUUUUUAUACUUGUAUAAUAAUAUUCAUCUCCUUUUCAAAUUUUAAAAAUAUCAAAUUAUAAAUAUAUCAUAUACUUCUCAUUUAUAUAUAUAUAUAUAUAUAUAUAUAUAUAUAUAUAUAAGUUUAUUUUUAUUAUAAAAUAUGAAAUUUUGUACCACUAUGGUAACUUAUGGAUGAUCAUCCAUAAAUAUAUUUUAUAACUCUUUAUAAAAGGAAGAGACUUCUAAUGAAAUUUAAUAGAGUUUUCUAAUACAUUCUAUUAUCUCUUUCUUGAUUUCUUCUUCUCUCAUUUUGUUUUAUAAUAAUUUUUACUUUUUUAUUGUUAUCUUGAAAUUUUGUCUUAUUUUUUAUAUAAAUAUAUAUAAUUUAAAAAAAAAACCAUUAUGAAUAAAUUUUAAAUUAUGCAACCCAACCAAUUCCACUCUUGUCCAAUCAACUUGAGUUUAAUUCUAUUAACCCAAUUUUAAUCCAAGUUUAAAAAAACAAGAUUGAGCACUUCAAGUUAGAAAUCGGAUUAAAUUGAGUUUGGGUUAAUCAUUUCUUAAUUUAAAUUAAACUCAAGUUAACUUUCAACCUAUUCAAGUUGUAACCUUAGAAAUUCUAUACCUAUCUCAAUCUACCAUUUUUUAGUUAAAACUUUUUUUAGGAUGGAAAUAUGAGUAAUUUUAAAUAAUAUAAGUACCCAUCCUCAUCCAUUGAGUUGCUAUCCCUAGUGUUUUUAUAGGAUUGCCACCCUCUAUUUUGAGUAUUUUUAGAAGAUUGUCGGUCUCGUUAUUAGCUCAUAUUUAUAGUUUAAUCCUCUUGGAGACUCCCGUUCUACUUGUACAGUCACUUAUAUGUUUUUUUAUCCAUCUCCCUUUGGAAAAUGAGAGGAAAAGACAAUGCAAGAACUCUAUGGUCCAUAAAGACUCGGCGUGGAGGAAUGGUGACGUCACUUUCUAGUACAAUGGGCCAAACUUUUUUCUCAUUUUCCACUAGGUGGGUGCCUUUUAAAAUCUUUAAAUUUUUAUUUUUUAUUUUUGUUCAUUCUUUAUUAAUUCCUUCUCCACUUUCUAAUUCCUUCGCCCGGAGGUUUCCCCUUUGGUUAAAGUUAAUCAUUAAAGGUAAAAAAAGAUUAAAUAAAAUAACAUUUUCAUUAAUAAUCGCAUUAAAGUGAAUCAUCAAAGUUAAUAUGAUUAAAUAAUAUAAUAUUUUGACUAAUAAUUAAGGAUUUAAUUAAAAAUUAUUCUUGAAAUUAGUUUUAUAUCACUUCUUAAUUGUUUUUAGAAAUAGAAUUACAUUUGAUAUUUGAAAAAUAGUUUUUUUUUUUAUCUUAUUUUUCAUUAAAGUAUUAUUAGCAUAAAAGUUUUUAAAAUAUUACUUAUAUUUUCAAUUAUUACUCAAAACACUUUAAAAGUAAUAAACGAAAAUAUCUUAAAUUUGUUCUCAAAACAAUUCAUCUUUAAAAUAAUUUUUCAAAAAACUAUUUUUUUUUUCAAAAGUCUAUUAAAAUUGUUUUCUAAGUUAGAAAAUUGCUUUCAAUUAUAAAAAUAGAGGUUGUUCAAAAAUGUUUUUGAAAACAAUAUUAAAAAAUAUUUGUAUGAUAAUUUCUAAAACAAAAUUUUGUUUAUAAAUUUGAAAUGUUUUAAUUUAUUUUGUGUAUUUAAAUAUUCCUUAAAAAUAUUUUUUUUAUAUGUAUUGAUUGUUAUUUAAAAAAGUUUUAAAAAACAAGAAAAACCAUUAUAUAUUCUAAAGAAAAUAAAUCAUAUUUUUAUAAUAAUUCUCAAAAACCUAUUUUGGGAUAACCAAUAAAAAAACAAAUUUUGAUUUUUUUUUUUUUGUUAAAAUAGCUCAAAAAUAUAACCUAAAAGGUUGUUUUCAAAAAUAGUUUUAAAAUAUAUCCUUAGCAUAUGGAUUUGGUAUCAUAUCAAAACUCAAAAUAUGAAUCUUUAUGUGUAUGAUUAAAAAUAUAUCACUAAGUAAAAAUAUAAAAAAAAAUGAAAUAUUUAUAUAAAUAUAUAGGACCAAAUUAUCAGGGAAAAAAAACAUUAAAAGUAUAAACAAAUGAAAUUUGUAGUUUUUGUAUAAACAUUUUAGCCUAAGUAGUGUUAUAUAUAUAUAUAUAUAUAUAUAUAUAUAUAUAUAUAUAUAUAUAUAUAUAAAGGCUUAUUUGGUAAUGGCUAAUAAUAAGUUCUAUUUGGAAAACAUUUAUUUAUUUACAAAAAAACAGAUUUGAUCAAUUUUUAUUAUUAUUGAAUAUAUAUAUAUAUAUAUAUAAUAACAAAUUUGAGUUGUUUUAGAAAAACAAUUGAAAAUAUGAUAUUUAAAAAAAUUUUACAUUAUGUAUUAUGUACAGGUGUAUAAUACAUGGAAUAAGCUUUCCAAAUUAAAUUCUUUAAGAAAAUUUUGUUUGUAAAAUAAAUUGAGAAGUAUUUUAUGUAAUAAGAGUUUUUUUUAAAAAAACUCUGUAAAAAUUUAUAUUUAGGAAAAUUGCUAAGUUAUCAAAUAGUUAUUAUAUCAACCACUAAAUCUAAAUUAUUGAUCUUCAUAAUUAAAUUUGAAUGAUUGAAUAAAUGUAACAUGAAAUGGGAUCAUAAUGGAAAAUUAGGAAUCAGGUAUAAAAGAAUAAGCUUCUCAAAUGGAAAUUCAUUCAAUUAUAAAUUUCUCCAUUUUUGGAUAUAUUUUUCAAUCACAAUUCUAUAGUUUUUUAUACGAUUUAUCUUUAUUUAAAAAAUAAAAUAAAACAUGCCUUUUUCUUCACUGUAAUUCGUUGAAUCAAAUUUUUAUAAGAUUUAGUAAUUAUUUUAAAUUAGAAAUUUCAAACAAAAAAAUCGGAUAAUAUAAAAUUAGGUAGAAAUAAAUACAAAUAAAUCUAUUUUACACGUGGUCGUUUAUUAUUGGGCAUAUCGAAAAUAAUCAAAAUACACCACUUUUAAAUCUCACUCCCCACAUGCAAGGACGAUUCCAAAUUUCCAACUUCAUGGAACCACACCUCGUAGACCCGAGCAAGUCUCCUCGUCCGUACGUCUCGCCCCUUUUUUUUCUCUUUCUUUAGUUGAUGUCGAUUCCGUUGAUUGCUUACUUCCUUCACAAGUUUUGCUUCUUUACUAAGUUUCUCACAUUCUAGUCCACACAAAACGACGAUGGAUUGGACAUUCUUUAAAUGCGUCUCUUUUAUAUAUGUAGACACUUCUGUGUGUUGCCAUUCAGUGCCCUUGGCAUCUUUCUACUGAGAGUGAAGACUGAGAGUGCUUUGUGUGAAUCGAGAAGGAGGAGUGGUCGUAAUGGCGACGCCGGAGGAGCAUAUAAAGGAGAUAAGGAGGACGAAGUUCUCGAUUGGAGGAGAGCUGAAUCCGCUGACGGAGGAUCUUCACCAGGCGGUGAAGAAUCUCUCAGCUGAGCUUUACGCUAAGGAUGUUCAUUUCCUCAUGGAACUCAUUCAGGUCUGUGCUUUAUAUGUUUGUCUUGUUGUUUUUAGAGAUGUGAUGAGCACUCUGCGUUGUAUGCAGCCAUUGUUUUGUCAUGUUAUUUAAAAUUUUGAGCGCUUUGAGCGCUGCUCUGUUCCUCUGCUAGAAAACCAAGGAAAAUGACGGUUAUGAGACUUUUGAAUAUUUUGUUUUCUUUAUAUGGUAUUUGUUUCUUGGAGAUGACUAACUAGAGAUUCAUAAUUAUAUGAUAUAUCUUUGAAGUAAAAAUCAACUUAGGAAAGUAUAUGAUAUAUUUAUAAUUUGAUAUUUUUAAAAUUUAAAAAGGAGAUGAAUAUUAUUAUACAAGUAUAAAAACACUAAAUCAGGUUUGGUUUUGGUUCGUAUUGAGAAAACUUUAACACAAGUUCAACCCAAAUAUUAAAUCGGUGCACUAACUUUCUGAAGAAUAUGUUACUUAUCUAUUAUUCUAAUUCGAUCAUUAUGAUCGGAAAGUGAAGUGAUAUGGAUUGAGAAUUAGUUUUGCACUAACUUUUUGAAGAAUAUGUUACUUAUCUAUUAUUCUAAUUCGAUCAUUAUGAUCGGAAAGUGAAGUGAUAUGGAUUGAGAAUUAGUUUUGUUACAUUCAAACUUCGGUUACAUUUUUUUGGUCUUGGAAAAUCUAAAUGUGAAGAAAUCACAUAUUCUAAAUUUUACAUAACAGAAUGCAGAAGAUAAUGACUACCCGGAAGGUGUAAAUCCAUCACUGGAGCUCGUUAUAACUUCACAGGACAUAACUGGCACUGGAGCAUCCGCGACAUUGUUGAUUUUCAACAACGAAAAAGGGUUUUCAGCUAAAAAUAUUGAGUCUAUCUGCAGUGUUGGGAGGUCCACCAAGAAAAACAAUAGGAAGUGUGGCUAUAUUGGAGAGAAAGGUACCUUCAUUUUUUUACUCUUUCGCUCAUAUCUCUCCAUCUUCCAUGCUGUAAAUUUUAAAACGAAACAGAGCAAGCUCUAACUCUCUGUCUGCAAAAAGAAAUUCUUUCUUUUCGAUAAUCCCUAGUCAACGAUAGACUGUCUCCCGAUUGUCUCUGUGAAACAAUCGGAAGACAACAAGGAUUAGAUAAAAUGAGAAAUAGAGGUAUGUGAUAGUAGAAAGUGAUCUAUCUUGGUUCUAUAUUUUUAUGCAUUUCAUUAAUACUGGGAACAAAAGAAACAAGGGGUCUUAUUAUUCUUACAUGUUCAUUAGUAACAUUCCCUUGAUACUUUCCAAGGGUAUCACUCGUAUUUUGCUUAUGCUUAAUGUUUUCUGAUUCUACUAGAAAUCUUAUAAGAACUUGUUUUGUUAUAAGUGGAUUUAUGGGAUUGGUUCUUCAAUGGUCUUGGGUCAGAAUCCUAUUUUGACUCUGCAUCAUCGAUUCCACUAUUAUUAGUGAGCAAUAAUGGAAAAAUUCUUUCAUAUUCAUAGAAAUAAGGGACAUAAUUUACAUGGAUAUAGUAAGUUUCGCUUGGGCUGCUUUAAUGGUAGUCUUUACAUUUUCUCUUUCACUCGUAGUAUGGGGAAGAAGUGGACUUUAGAGGUACUAUUGAUUCAGUUGAGAAUCUUUAACUACAGAUCAAGUAUAUCCUCAAUUCUUAGAACCUCUAGUGUAGAAACACUUUAUUCAUGUCAAAAAGUUAGCUUAAUCAAUUCAGCUAGACACCCCAACUUUGGUCUUUACUAAGUCAACCUUCUCCUUUGCUUAACUUGCUAGCCUAAGAUGUACACGACUUAAAAGCUAAAAUGAAAACUGUGGGCAAGACUUUUGGUCUUUACUAAGUCAACCUUCUCCCUUGCUUAACUUGCUAGCCUAAGAUGCACACGACUUAGAAGUAUUUCUUAUACAACUUGUCGUCUUGCUAAUAUGCAGGAAUUGGGUUCAAGAGUGUAUUUCUAAUCACAGCACAACCUUACAUAUUCAGUAAUGGAUAUCAGAUACGAUUCAAUGAAGAGCCUUGCCCGCACAGCAAUCUUGGGUACAUAGUCCCUGAAUGGGUUCAGUGGAAUCCAACUCUUGAUGACAUAAAGCAAAUAUACGGUUCUCAUGCAGUCCUUCCAACCACUACCAUAAUCUUGCCUCUAAAGCCUGACAAGAUCGGCCCUGUGAAGGAACAGCUCUCAAGUAUUCAACCUGAAGUUCUAUUAUUUCUUUCAAAGAUUAAGCAGUUUUCUGUCAAGAAACAUAAUGAGGAUCCCAGGCUCAAUACGGUGAAUGCUAUAUCUAUUUCAAGUGAAAUUAACUUUGUUAAAAGGAAGAAUAUUGAUGCUGAUUCCUAUAUUCUCCAUCUCUCCACGGAUGGAGCUAAGGAUGUGACUGAAAAAGAAUGCAGCUAUUAUAUGUGGAGGCAGAAGUUCCCUGUCAGGCAGGAAAAUCAAGUAGAAAGAAGACUUGGAGUGGAGGAGUUGGUUAUUACGCUGGCAUUUCCAUUUGGACAGCGACUGAAUAGAGGGAUAAGCUCUCCAGGAGUCUAUGCAUUUCUUCCCACGGAGAUGGUUACAAAUUUUCCUUUCAUUAUUCAGGCAGAUUUUGUUCUUGCAUCAUCCAGGGAAACAAUCCUCUUGGACAACAAAUGGAACCAAGGCAUUCUAGAUUGUGUGCCUUCUGCUUUUCUUAAUGCCUUCAUUUCACUGGUUACAACAUCACAAGAUGUUCCAGUCUCUACACUGACCCCAAUGUUUAAGUUCUUGCCUAUCUACAGCUCUCCUUAUCCAAAGCUCAAUGAUGUGAGGGAGUUGAUCAAAGCAGAACUGCUUAAGAAGAAUAUCGUACCAUGUGAGUCGUAUUCAGACCAGAAGAUCUUUCGUAAACCUUGUGAAGUGGGUAGGUUAAUGCCUUCUUUCUGGAAUAUCCUGAAAAAGGCAAGGAAGCAAGGGGUAAGUUUGCAUUCUCUGUCAUCCCAUGGAAAGUAUAUUCUGAAUUCUUCAUUUGAUACAGAGGAGUACGAUCACAUAUUGAAUUUCCUUGGUGUGGAACCUGUCAAUAGCGAAUGGUAUGCCAAGUGUAUCAAGAGUUCCAAUCUUGUUUUGGGAGUGACAGAGGAUGGUUAUUUGGAGCUUCUACUCUUUAUUGCUGAGAAAUGGAGUUCCUCUUUCUACAGCACCGACAUGAAGAAUGUUCCUCUCCUAAAAUAUGUUGGUCCUGAUGGAAAUGUUGUUUUGUGCGCUACAAGCAAUGUCACAAUGUGGAAUGGUGAAAGUACGAUUUGUAUGUCCCGUGAGUCUCAGCAUAUUUCAUGGUUGAUAGACUGGAACAGGGAAUUUAGACGUGUGACAGAUCGAUAUUUUGUGCCCAAAAGCACACAAGAAGCUAUCAGGUCUUUUUUUAAGAGAGAGACUCUCUUGGAAUGGCUUCAAAAUCAAGUGAAGGUUCGGGCUGUAAGUGUGAAAGACUUUGCAGUCAUUCUUUGUAAUUCUCUUAAGGGUGACCGACAGCUUGCUAUCGCCUAUGUUCACUUCCUUUAUCAUUCCCUCUCGAAGAGUUAUCUACCAAAGGGGGAUGUUGACAAUUUGUGUGGUAUCAUGCCACUUGUAGAUAACUAUGGGCAUGUGAGCACUCAGAGAAAAGGGGUUCUCGUUCCUGCUAACGGAAGCAAAUGGGUGGGAUUAAUGGGUACAAAUCCGUGGAGGGGAGCAGGCUAUGUUGAGCUGGGAGAAGACUAUUUGCGCUCAGGCAGUUAUGCAGGUUUAUUCACAUCAGAGAUGCAACUAAUGACGUUUCUCAAAACUCAUGUUGCAGCUUCUGAUAUACCUCAUAUAUCUCCUCCCGACGCCGAGUUAUCUGCCGCAUAUGCACCACUCACCAAGCAAAAUGCAUUCUUGCUGUUGGACUGGAUUCACAACCUGAAAUAUAAGCAAGGUCUGCCAGCUAAGUUCCUGACAUCCAUUAAGAAGGGAAGCUGGUUCAAAAUUUCCCUCAGUGGCAGUCCUGGAUAUAGGCCACCAUCAGAGUCUUUCCUGCUUGCUUCAUCAGAUGAAAAUCUUCUGCAGGACGAGUCAGUAAUGGUUGAUAUUCCUUUGAUUGACCAAGGAUUUUAUGGAAAUGGCAUCAAUUGUUAUAAGGAGGAGCUCAAAACUGUUGGAGUAAUGUUUGAAUAUGGCGAAGCCUGUGAGUUUAU